CCGCAGUUGUUCUAGUCGGUAUUCGAUCUGUAGUGAUUGUACCGCAGUUGUUCUAGUCGGUAUUCGAUCUGUAGUGAUUGUACCGCAGUUGUUCUAGUCGGUAUUCGAUCUGUAGUGAUUGUCCACUCCCGCAACCACCUCUUACCAUGGACGCAUGAGCAUACGAUACCCUUACUUAUACCAAUGCAACCACAAUACAUAUAUUAUCACAAUCAUAUGUAAUCUCCCAACAAGCAUGUCAACACAUAUAUUUCAUCAAAUACUAUGUCAGACAAGUAACCUCAUGUAUUCAUAACGAACUCAUAUCGAGAAUACAUAAUACAAACAUGCCAAGCACUCACAAAUAGUGCACAAACAAACACACAAAGCAUUCACAACAACAAACAUACAACUAUGCUAUCGACGGAAUUUAAUACGGAAGUAAGAAGGUGCCCUUACCUCGGCAAGCUUCCAAUUUCAAACAACUUCGAACAAUUCUACACUUUCGCGCGCCCUUAAGCAAGUGAUUCUCUACACUUUUCCUUAGAGCUUCCAAGCUUGAAAUGGAACCAAAUGGUGAAGAAUNNNN
rnacentral:lncRNA from 1 species